rnacentral:rRNA from 1 species
UACGUAGGGGGCGAGCGUUGUCCGGAUUCAUUGGGCGUAAAGAGCUCGUAGGCGGCUUGUCAAGUCGGGUGUGAAACCUCCAGGCUCAACCUGGAGACGCCACUCGAGACUGUCAUGGCUAGAGUCCGGUAGGGGAUCACGGAAUUCCUGGUGUAGCGGUGAAAUGCGUAGAGAUGUGGAGGAACACCAGUGGCGAAGGCGACUCUUUGGUCUGUAACUGACGCUGAGGCGCGAAAGCGUGGGGAGCAAACAGG